rnacentral:rRNA from 1 species
UACGAGAGCCCCGAGCGUUAUCCGGAAUUAUUGGGCGUAAAGGGUGCGUAGGCGGUUGUGUUAGUCGCGUGUUAAAUGCCCGGGCUUAACUUGGGAAAUGCGCGCGAAACGGCACGACUUAGAAUGAAGAAGAGGUGUGCGGAACUCAUGGUGUAGGGGUGAAAUCCGUUGAUAUCAUGGGGAACACCAAAUGCGAAAGCAGCACACUGGUCUUUUAUUGACGCUGAGGCACGAAAGCGUGGGUAGCGAAUGGG